rnacentral:tRNA from 1 species
GAGGUGUUAGUAAACUUAUUACAUAGCCCUGUCAAAGCUAAACCACAGGUGAAACCCCUGUACACCUCU